AACGAACGCUGGCGGCAGGCCUAACACAUGCAAGUCGAGCGGAUCCUUCGGGAUUAGCGGCGGACGGGUGAGUAACGCGUGGGAAUAUGCCCUUCUCUACGGAAAAGCCUCGGGAAACUGGGAGUAAUACCGUAUACGCCCUACGGGGGAAAGAUUUAUCGGGGAAGGAUUAGCCCGCGUUGGAUUAGGUAGUUGGUGGGGUAAUGGCCUACCAAGCCUACGAUCCAUAGCUGGUUUGAGAGGAUGAUCAGCCACACUGGGACUGAGACACGGCCCAGACUCCUACGGGAGGCAGCAGUGGGGAAUCUUAGACAAUGGGGAAACCCUGAUCUAGCCAUGCCGCGUGAGUGAUGAAGGCCUUAGGGUUGUAAAGCUCUUUCAGCUGGGAAGAUAAUGACGGUACCAGCAGAAGAAGCCCCGGCUAACUCCGUGCCAGCCGCCGCCGUAAAAC
rnacentral:rRNA from 1 species